rnacentral:misc_RNA from 1 species
CGCAGCCGCGGUAAUUCCAGCUCCAAUAGCGUAUAUUAAAGUUGUUGUGGUUAAAAAGCUCGUAGUAGAACCUUGGGCCUGGCUGGCCGGUCCGCCUCACCGCGUGUACUGGUCCGGCCGGGCCUUUCCCUCUGUGGAACCGCAUGUCCUUCACUGGAUGUGUCGGGGAAACAGGACUUUUACUUUGAAAAAAUUAGAGUGCUCCAGGCAGGCCUAUGCUCGAAUACAUUAGCAUGGAAUAAUAAAUAGGACGUGUGGUUCUAUUUUGUUGGUUUCUAGGACCGCCGUAAUGAUUAAUAGGGACAGUCGGGGGCAUCAGUAUUCAAUUGUCAGAGGUGAAAUUCUUGGAUUUAUUGAAGACUAACUACUGCGAAAGCAUUUGCCAAGGAUGUUUUCAUUUAUCAGGAACGAAAGUUAGGGGAUCGAAGACGAUCAGAUACCGUCGUAGUCUUAACCAUAAACUAUGCCGACUAGGGAUCGGACGAUGUUAUUUUUUGACUCGUUCGGCACCUUACGGGAA